GCACAGACCAGGCCAGAAAACGCAGAAACGCAGAAACGCAGCGACGGCGCCCUAACCUCACGUCUCGCGACCCAACACCUCCGGCAUCCUGCGAGCGGAGCGUCGCGUCCUCUCGCGACCCUCCUGUGACCUCCCUGAGCAGAACCCAGCGAGCCGCCGGCGACGACCCUCUUCUCCUACUCCUCUGAGCCCUCACCCUCUCUCAAAUUCCUCAACCUCUGCCGCCGUUAGACCUCCCUGAGCAGAACCCAACGAUCCGCCGGCGACGACCCUCUUCUCCUACUCCUCAGAGCCCUCGCCCUCUCUCAAACUCCUCAACCUCUGCCGGCCUUAGGGCUUAUUUGUGGAUAGAUAAAAGAAGUGCGCUGGAUCAAUUUCUUUAUUUCACACUUCUUUAUUUCACACUUCAAGAGUGCUGUUGAAUACAAUGAUGUUCUGGAUGAUGGGAACAACAAUCAUGUAAUUAUGCAGUUCAAUGACGAAAUACAUUCAUUAAAUAGGAAAUUUAGAAUUGCUAUCGUUGUAGUUGUAUGUACUUGGAUUGUGAUGAUGGAGAUGUAGUUGAUGUAACUUAUUUUGUGAUGUAACUUGACAUUUUGAUGUAACUUUAAAUGAUGUAACUUGUUUUGUUAUACAAAAUAAACUAGUUUUGUUA